rnacentral:rRNA from 1 species
AACAAACGCUGGCGGCGUGCUUAAUACAUGCAAGUCGAACGUGAUGUGUAGCAAUACACUGAAAGUGGCGAACGGGUGAGUAACACGUAAAUAAUCUGCCCCUAAGUUUGGGAUAACCUUGCCAACGCGAGGCUAAUACCGGAUGUGGUCAUGGAAACGCAUGUUUUUGUGACUAAAGGCGUAAGUCGCUUAGGGAUGAGUUUGCGGCCCAUUAUGCUUGUUGGCGGGGUAACGGCCCACCAAGGCUUCGAUGGGUAGCCGGCCUGAGAGGGUGUACGGCCACAUUGGGACUGAGAUACGGCCCAGACUCCUACGGGAGGCAG